UUGCUCUUCAACGAGGAAUGCCUAGUAAGCGCGUGUCAUCAGCAUGCGUUGAUUACGUCCCUGCCCUUUGUACACACCGCCCGUCGCUACUACCGAUUGAAUGGCUCAGUGAGGUCUCCGGACUGGCUCAGGGAGGUUGGCGACGACCACCCAGGGCCGGGAAGCUGAUCAAACUUGGUCAUUUAGAGGAAGUAAAAGUCGUAACAAGGUUUCCGUAGGUGAACCUGCGGAAGGAUCAUUACCGAGUGGCGCGAAAUUCCUGUCGUGAGACGGGGAAGCUACCCGACCUUUUGUCAUUUUGUCAAGUCUGGCUGGCGGGAUUGCAUUCGUGAGAAAGCGAAUGUGGAUUUCGGCAGACGGACCAAAACUUCGGCGGAAGAGGUAGGCGUGGACCUGCCCGCCGCCGGCCGUAUAAGACAAUACACAUUCUUGAGAGCAAACUGAAGUCUAAGACGAUCCUUGAAAAAGGAAUACCAAAAAAAAGCAAAACUUUCAACAACGGAUCUCUUGGCUCUGGCAACGAUGAAGAACGCAGCGAAACGCGAAAGGUAAUGCGAAUUGCAGAAUCAGUGAGUCAUCGAAUCUUUGAACGCACAUUGCGCCUCUCGGUAUUCCGGGAGGCACGCCUGUUCGAGCGCCAUUACAAACUCCAAGCUGUGCUUGAUGUUGGUCCGGUGUGUAUCGGUAAGUCUUCUUUUUCGGAGGAAGAGUUUUGAGAGACACAGGACUGGAACGCGUUGGCGCCGCCGCCAGACCACGAGCGUAGCAAGACGAGAGUCAAGAAAUCGCCUCGGGUUGGAUCUGACGGACGGUGGCCUGGUUAUGUGGUUAUGGAUAUUAUUCAUGGAUGAUUUUAUCGACAUGAAUGAUAGACAGACACACACGCACACAGUUUGGCCUCGGAUCAGGCGGGGAUACCCGCUGAACUUAAGCAUAUCAAUAAGCGGAGGA
rnacentral:rRNA from 1 species